UACGUAGGGGGCUAGCGUUGUCCGGAUUUAUUGGGCGUAAAGAGCGUGUAGGCGGCCAUGUAGGUCCGGUGUGAAAACUCGAGGCUUAACCUCGAGAUGUCAUCGGAAACCAUUUGGCUAGAGUCCGGAAGAGGAGAGUGGAAUUCCUGGUGUAGCGGUGAAAUGCGCAGAUAUCAGGAGGAACACCGGUGGCGAAGGCGGAUCUCUGGGCCGUAACUGACGCUGAGGAGCGAAAGCGUGGGGAGCGAACAGG
rnacentral:rRNA from 1 species